rnacentral:rRNA from 1 species
AUGACCUCACAGAUGGAGAGGGAAUCAAACCCCCGUUAUUCCUAUCAAUACUUCGGUUUUCAAGACCGACUCUUUCAACCGCUCAGGCAUCCAUCCCUGUGCUCGCCUGCCCUAUCUAUCUGGGCGCUGGUAGGUAGGGGCAACUCUAUGUGA